UACGUAGGGGGCGAGCGUUGUCCGGAUUUAUUGGGCGUAAAGAGCUCGUAGGCGGACUGUUGCGUCCGCUGUGAAAAGCUGGGGCUUAACCCUGGCCUUGCAGUGGAUACGGGCAGACUAGGGGUAGGUAGGGGAGAAUGGAAUUCCCGGUGUAGCGGUGAAAUGCGCAGAUAUCGGGAGGAACACCGGUGGCGAAGGCGGUUCUCUGGGCCUUACCUGACGCUGAGGAGCGAAAGCGUGGGGAGCGAACAGG
rnacentral:rRNA from 1 species